AUGGAGACCCUUUCAAACCUCACCUCUCUCGCCCGAUUAAGCAUAUAUGGUUGCGGAGAGGAUUUAAGAUGCGAGGGCCUGUUGCCUCUCCUUACUCGGGGCCAGCUCAGCCAUUUAGAUGUCCAACGAAUCCCCAAUUUCUUUGGUGCGUGGGACCCUAUGUGGGGGAUGCAGGAGGAGCAAAAUAAGAGGACAGAAUCCAAACUGCAGUAUCUCGAGACAGAUGAGGCCUUAUUUGCGGACCAAGAGAUUGCGCGCUUCACAAAGGAGCAGGAGGAGGCCUUUCACCACCUCACCUCGCUCCAGCAACUGAGGUUUUGGAGAUGCGACAAGCUGCAACACCUCCCUGCAGGGCUAAACAAGCUGCAGCACCUCAAAAGAUUAGGGAUCUGGAGGUGUCCAGCCCUCCGGUCGCUGCCCAAGGAAGGCCUCCCGAGUUCACUACGAGAAUUAGAUGUCGAGGAUUGCGGUACCAAGGAGCUAACAGAGCACUGCAAGCAAUUAAGGGGAACCAUCCCAAAAGUCACACUAUAG
rnacentral:rRNA from 1 species